rnacentral:rRNA from 1 species
AUUGAACGCUGGCGGCAGGCCUAACACAUGCAAGUCGAGCGGUAGAGAGGAGCUUGCUCCUCUUGAGAGCGGCGGACGGGUGAGUAAUGCCUAGGAAUCUGCCUGGUAGUGGGGGAUAACGUUCGGAAACGGACGCUAAUACCGCAUACGUCCUACGGGAGAAAGCAGGGGACCUUCGGGCCUUGCGCUAUCAGAUGAGCCUAGGUCGGAUUAGCUAGUUGGUGAGGUAAUGGCUCACCAAGGCGACGAUCCGUAACUGGUCUGAGAGGAUGAUCAGUCACACUGGAACUGAGACACGGUCCAGACUCCUACGGGAGGCAGCAGUGGGGAAUAUUGGACAAUGGGCGAAAGCCUGAUCCAGCCAUGCCGCGUGUGUGAAGAAGGUCUUCGGAUUGUAAAGCACUUUAAGUUGGGAGGAAGGGCAGUAAAUUAAUACUUUGCUG